GUACACUCCUGCGGGAGGCAGCAGUGGGGAAUAUUGGACAAUGGGCGCAAGCCUGAUCCAGCCAUGCCGCGUGAGUGAUGAAGGCCCUAGGGUUGUAAAGCUCUUUCACCGGUGAAGAUAAUGACGGUAACCGGAGAAGAAGCCCCGGCUAACUUCGUGCCAGCAGCCGCGGUAAUACGAAGGGGGCUAGCGUUGUUCGGAUUUACUGGGCGUAAAGCGCACGUAGGCGGACUAUUAAGUCAGGGGUGAAAUCCCGGGGCUCAACCCCGGAACUGCCUUUGAUACUGGUAGUCUUGAGUUCGAGAGAGGUGAGUAGAAUUCCGAGUGUAGAGGUGAAAUUCGUAGAUAUUCGGAGGAACACCAGUGGCGAAGGCGGCUCACUGGCUCGAUACUGACGCUGAGGUGCGAAAGCGUGGGGAGCAAACAGGAUUAGAUACCCUUGUAGUCCCAUGA
rnacentral:rRNA from 1 species